rnacentral:pre_miRNA from 1 species
AAUAAGUGCAGUUUUAGCACUGUUCAUAUUCAUCGUUUGACCGUUCGUCUUAUUUAAAAAAAAGAUUAUGAUUAGUAUUUUUAUUGUUAUUAGAUGAUAAAACAUGAAUAGUACUUUAUGUGUGACUAAUUUUUUUAAUAUUUUUUAUAAAUUUUUUAAAUAAGACGGAUGGUCAAAGCGCUAAACACGAAUAUAUAUGGCUGCACUUAUU